rnacentral:hammerhead_ribozyme from 1 species
AUUAAACUGACGAGUCCGAAAUAGGACGAAACGCGUGUCCUGGAU